UGAGGAAUAUUGGUCAAUGGGCGGGAGCCUGAACCAGCCAAGCCGCGUGAGGGAUGAAGGCCCUAUGGGUCGUAAACCUCUUUUGUCAGGGAACAAAAGCGAGUAUGUAUACUGGUCUGAGUGUACCUGAAGAAAAAGCAUCGGCUAACUCCGUGCCAGCAGCCGCGGUAAUACGGAGGAUGCGAGCGUUAUCCGGAUUUAUUGGGUUUAAAGGGUGCGUAGGCGGCGGUGCAAAGUCAGCGGUAAAAGCCCGGGGGCUCAACCCCGGCGAGCCGUUGAAACUGCAGUGCUAGAGAAGGCGAGAGGGUACGCGGAAUGCGCAGUGUAGCGGUGAAAAUGCUUAGAUAUUGCGCAGAACUCCGAUUGCGAAGGCAGCGUACUGGCGCCUGACUGACGCUGAGGCACGAAAGCGUGGGGAUCGAACAGGAUAGAUACC
rnacentral:rRNA from 1 species